rnacentral:rRNA from 1 species
CCUACGGGAGGCAGCAGUGGGGAAUAUUGCACAAUGGGCGCAAGCCUGAUGCAGCCAUGCCGCGUGUGUGAAGAAGGCCUUCGGGUUGUAAAGCACUUUCAGCGGGGAGGAAGGCGUUAAGGUUAAUAACCUUGGCGAUUGACGUUACCCGCAGAAGAAGCACCGGCUAACUCCGUGCCAGCAGCCGCGGUAAUACGGAGGGUGCAAGCGUUAAUCGGAAUUACUGGGCGUAAAGCGCACGCUGGCGGUCUGUCAAGUCGGAUGUGAAAUCCCCGGGCUCAACCUGGGAACUGCAUUCGAAACUGGCAGGCUAGAGUCUUGUAGAGGGGGGUAGAAUUCCAGGUGUAGCGGUGAAAUGCGUAGAGAUCUGGAGGAAUACCGGUGGCGAAGGCGGCCCCCUGGACAAGGACUGACGCUCAGGUGCGAAAGCGUGGGGAGCAAACAGGAUUAGAUACCCGGGUAGUC